CCUGUCGUUCCUCAAAGAAAAAAGCUGUUGAGACCUGGCGCAACCAGGAAAUAUGCCCUCGCCAAUUCCCCACUCCUUCGGCGGCGGCGGGCAUGGCCACUGUUCUCGUGCUUGAUACAAAUCCGGCAUUCUAAUACGACUGGAGCUCCACUAGCAGGCGGAUUAUUGGUCAGGUUCAGUUUCGCGUAUGAUUAAUCUGCAGCGGCACAGACAAUUCGAUCCAUCCCAACAACACCCACGUCAACUUUCUGAGGAGUCGAAGAUUUGUUAGCCCGCUUUGUUCACAGGGAACCGUAGUUUGUACGCCCAUCGGUCGAUUAGCCAUGGCCCCCUGCGAUUCUUUCUCAAGAAAACCUACCACCCGUUGGCCAGAUCAGGAGAACUCCUGCAUGCGCCUGCUCCGUCAGCAGCAGCCGCCGCCGCCGCCGCCGCUCCGGCGGCCGGACCUAUCUCGGCCAGGAGCUAGUUAUCGAAGAUUUUUGAAGAAUGUUAGGCUCGUCGCCUAUGGUUUGAGCUUGGUGUGGGCCUUUACGCUAUAAUCUGCAUGGUCAAACCAGCAUAGAUGUUCUUGCAAUGGUCGAUGUGGCCAUUCAAAAUCCUCUAAUAUGAAAAGAGGAGGUCAAGUAGUUUGAGGCGGCAAUGGCCUAUUUUGGUAGUUUUUCUAUCCUCGUGAGUAUCCCUCUUGACUUGCCUGUGCUCGACUUGGAUCGUUCUCCCUAUUAGAUGGGUGAACAAAAAUUCAUGUUAUCUUGUUA